UUUUUUGUUAUGUUUUGUUUACAUUCUUUGACUAGUGUUAUAAGUUAAAUGCGAGCCUGCCUUGGGACUAGCCCUCGAACAGAUUCACAUAUUAAAGUGCACAGUGUUGGAUAGUGGGGGUCAGGCCUCUCAGUAAAGAGAGCACCCUAUUAUUCACUAAUGAUCCUUCCGCAGGUUCACCUACGGAAA
rnacentral:misc_RNA from 1 species